GACGAACGCUGGCGGCGUGCUUAACACAUGCAAGUCGAGCGGAAAGGCCUUUCGGGGUACUCGGGCGGCGAACGGGUGAGUAACACGUGAGUAAUCUGCCCUUCACUCUGGGAUAGCCACCGGAAACGGUGAUUAAUACCGGAUACGACCAUCCCCGGCAUCGGGUGGGGGUGGAAACUUUUUUGGGUGGGGGAUGUGCUCGCGGCCUAUCAGCUUGUUGGUGGGGUAAUGGCCUACCAAGGCUUCGACGGGUAGCCGGCCUGAGAGGGUGACCGGCCACACUGGGACUGAGACACGGCCCAGACUCCUACGGGAGGCAGCAGUGGGGAAUAUUGGACAAUGGGCGGAAGCCUGAUCCAGCAACGCCGCGUGAGGGAUGACGGCCUUCGGGUUGUAAACCUCUUUCAGCACCGACGAAGCGCAAGUGACGGUAGGUGCAGAAGAAGGACCGGCCAACUACGUGCCAGCCGCCGCGGUAAUAC
rnacentral:rRNA from 1 species